UGGUUGUACAAGGGGGCCCAGUGUGUCUACCUAUACUUCCAUCUCGGCUGGAAGUCUGCAUUCUACUUUCAUUUCUUCAUUUUCUGGGAAUCUUUCAUAACUUUUUCAUCUUCAACCACCAUUGCUUUCUGAACACAACUGUAAACUCCUGUGGGCUGGAAUAGUGUUCUCAUACAUUUUUAAUGCAACAGGGGACAAAGCAACCUUGUAUUUUUUAAAAAUAAUAAAAUCUCCAUAAUAGCAAGUAAAUAUUUCUCUGGCUCUAUAAUAGCCCCCCAGUUGUGGAACUCUGGCUUCCUCCAAGCUCUUUCCCAGCUAGUUCAGAGAGUACCAAAGGAUAUCUCAAAUCUGCCCUGGAAUAUAGUUCUCUGGACUACUUUGUGGGUAGCCAUUUCCCCAAGCCUGUGUUUUAUCAACGUUUUCCUCUCUCCCACCACACAUCCCACACUUUCUUUAUUCUUAUUAUACUCUGCUACUAUGGUAAAGUCGUCUGCCAUUCUUAUGCACUGAUGCUUAAUGUCCUCAGAGACCCAAUUCUUCUAUUUGUUUCUUCAGCUAGUCCAGUUCAAGACACAGUAUUGCCUGCCUCUCCAACACUGACCCAUUGUCUGCACUAUAGCUUAGGUACUAGGAUUCACUUUCCCUUAGAAACUUUCCUAAGAGAAUAUUUGAGCCAUAGAGCAAGUAAUCCCCUUUGUGGACCAACCAACCAGAUUAAGACAUGUCUUACAUCUAAGGUUGAACCCAGGGACCAUCUCCUCUGGGAAGUCUUUCCUAAAUUCCCACCCAUACCCCCACCCAUUACCAGCUAGGUAAUGUAUAUCUUUUCUUUGUCCUGUGGUAUUCUGAACAUGUUCUAGAUAUAAUUUUUAUCAUGCUGUAUGAUAAUUAUCUUUUCCUGAACUGAUUCAUCAUCAAAACCAUGAGCCUUUCCAGGGGGAGAAUUAUGUCUCAUCUUUGAAUUCUGAGUGUCUAGCUUAGUUCUGGCACUAAGGUUCCAUAGCCUCUCCAGCUGAGCCCCUAAUGUGCUUGCAUGCACCACAAUUAAUUUGAUUCAUGUCAAGUCAAUUUAUAAAAUAUUUGAUGAACAUUGUGUGUCCAAAAUCCUUUCCUACCCCCUGGAGCUAUGGAGAUGAAUAAGACAUGGUCCCUGCACAGGAGAUUCACAGAAACUUUCUUGGGUUUCCCUUUCCCCAUUUCUCAAUUCUUUGUCAUCUGGAUAAUUUUUACUGAGCCUGGAAUUGUGUCUGAUGGAAUCAAAACAUGCAAAGGGUUUAAUUACAAAUAGUACACUCAGUCCAGCAAUAGAACUUUGUUCCAGACAUAGAGAUAGCACAGAAGACAGCAUAAUAGCAUUCUUAAGGUGGACAUGGGUGAUCCUG